rnacentral:rRNA from 1 species
UACGUAGGUGGCAAGCGUUGUUCGGAAUUACUGGGCGUAAAGCGCGCGUAGGCGGUUACUCAAGUCAGAGGUGAAAGCCCGGGGCUCAACCCCGGAACUGCCUUUGAAACUAGGUGACUAGAAUCUUGGAGAGGUCAGUGGAAUUCCGAGUGUAGAGGUGAAAUUCGUAGAUAUUCGGAAGAACACCAGUGGCGAAGGCGACUGACUGGACAAGUAUUGACGCUGAGGUGCGAAAGCGUGGGGAGCAAACAGG